rnacentral:rRNA from 1 species
CACCUGAAAUCAAGCAAGAUCACCCGCUGAACUUAAGCAUAUCAGUAAGCGGAGGAAAAGAAACUAACAAGGAUUGCCUUAGUAGUGGCGAAUGAACCGGCAUCAGCUCAAAGUGUAAAUCUGAGGCAUCAAGUCUUAGAAUUGUAAUCUAUAGGCCUUUUAGGGAAGUCACGGUCCUAGCAUAAGUUUCUUGAAAAGGAAUGCCAAAGAGGGUAAAAGCCCCGUAUUUGGUUAGGACUGGAUGUACCGAAGGGUUCCAAGAGUCGGGUUGUUUGGGAUUGCAGCCUAAAAUGGGAGAUAAACUUCUUCUAAAGCUAAAUAUUUAUGGGAAACCGAUAGCAAACAAGUACUACGAAGGAAAGAUGAAAAGAACUUUGAAAAGAGGGUUAAAAGACUUGAAAUCGUUGAGGAGAAAAGCGGUAGAAGAGAAAUGAUUUCGUUCAGAAGUAUGUGGCAUUGUUGGCGUCUUCAUUGGUGAUGGUACUUCAUAGGGCCUAGCUGGUGACCGGCGUUGCAUAGUUACUUUUUCUGGGCGAAGUGCAAAAUGAGGUCUCGUUUGCGGAAACGUCUCUAGGGAAAACUCUGGUCUCGAUAUCGGAAGCCCUGGUCUCCAA